AACGAACGCUGGCGGCAUGCCUAACACAUGCAAGUCGAACGACACCUUCGGGUCUAGUGGCGCACGGGUGCGUAACGCGUGGGAACCUGCCCUUAGGUUCGGGAUAACUCCCCGUAGGGGGUGCUAAUACCGGAUAAUGUCUUCGGACCAAAGAUUCAUCGCCCUUGGAUGGGCACGCGUUGGAUUAGCCAGUUGGUAGGGUAAAAGCCUACCAAGGCGACGAUCCAUAGCUGGUCUGAGAGGAUGAUCAGCCACACUGGGACUGAGACACGGCCCAGACUCCUACGGGAGGCAGCAGUGGGGAAUAUAGGACAAUGGGCGAAAGCCUGAUCCAGCAAUGCCGCGUGAGUGAUGAAGGCCUUAGGGUUGUAAAGCUCUUUUACCCGGGAUGAUAAUGACAGUACCGGGAGAAUAAGCUCCGGCUAACUCCGUG
rnacentral:rRNA from 1 species